GACGAACGCUGGCGGCGUGCUUAACACAUGCAAGUCGAACGAAGAGCGAUGGAAGCUUGCUUCUGUCCGUCUUAGUGGCGAACGGGUGAGAAACGCGUAAUCAACCUGCCCUUCAGAGGGGGACAACAGUUGGAAACGACUGCUAAUACCGCAUACGAUCUAAACUCGGCAUCGAGGAUAGAUGAAAGGUGGCCUCUACAUGUAAGCUAUCACUGAAGGAUGUGAUUGCGUCUGAUUAGCUAGUUGGAGGGGUAACGGCCCACCAAGGCGAUGAUCAGUAGCCGGUCUGAGAGGAUGAACGGCCACAUUGGGACUGAGACCCGGCCCAGUCGCCUACGGGAGGCGGCAGGGGGGAAUCUUGCGCCAUGGACGAAAGACUGACGGAGCAACGCCGCGGGAGUGAUGACGGCCUUCGGGUUGGAAAGCUCUGUUUAUCGGGACGAAAGGCCUUCUUGCGAAUAGUGAGAAGGAUUGACGGUACCGGAAAAGAAAGCCACGGCUAACUACGUG
rnacentral:rRNA from 1 species